GCCACUAAGGCACACCCGAGGAAGAAGAAUCCAGUCAUUACCAUCCAUCUUCUCACGGCACUGCCUCCUGCAACAUUGUCCAAUAUCAAAAUCUGAUCUGCAUCUUCAUUCUUCGAUUAACUCAAAGAUAGGUUCAAAAAAUCAGCCCGUUGCAAAAACUAACUCGGGACGACCGCAGCGGAAUCUUCUUGGACCGGGAAGAUCAGCCGAGCGUAGAUCGUACUUAUCCGUACGUGAAAUUGCCGUGACCGAAACUUCGAUCUCUGUGAUCGGGGGAAGAUCGUCGAGCCGUAAAUAGAAAUCAUAUCAAAUCGCGAAACCGUCACUCGUUGCGCUCGUCAUUUCGCGUCACGCGAUAGCUUUUCUUCUCUUCGCUCGCGGUGACUUUUACAUAAGCGAACUCAUUGACGUGCAAAAUUGGAGAAAAGAAACUGUCGAGGUUGUCACCUGUUCGGUCGUCAGAAACGAUCGGGGAUGAUGGGAUAAUCGAGAAAGUACUCGGCAAUCGUGCGCGACACGACGAAUUAAAUCCGUGCUAAUCUGAUUUAACACUUUGUCGGUCGUUACUUACCCUGAUAGCAGUAAUUAUAAUUGCUAUCAGAAUGUGAAUACAAUACGAUGAUAGACAUAAUGCAAAUCGUAUAUUUAAAUGUGUAUCUAGCACUAGAGAAGACUCAUACCUCGACCGUUCACUAAGAUAAUAAUCGAUAAUUUAAAUAACGCUCAAGUAUUAGCUUUGUUAUAAAAUUAAUUAAUUAUUCAGAAUGUACCCGUUAUACACUUGAUUCUAAUAUAAAGUUCUUCAUACAA